UUGUGGUUGUUGCAGCGAUACCGCCUCAAAGUCAAUAAACCUGCAUUUUAGUAGAUUUUUAUUUAUUUUUAUUUUUAUGCAUAACAAGGCAGGUAUUUGACCACAAUCGCACAUGAUGUUAAGAGGGAUGCAGUCUAGGAUGGUACAUAUCUGCCCUGUAAGAUACCUACUUAUGUGACAAAUUGCCGGAAAGAUAGUCUUAUGGCAACAAAAAGAGUGUCCUUGGAACACAAGGUUAUAUUAUGUGCUAUGCAUUAAGAUGCAUCCAGUUCAUACCAAGGCACUGAUGGUAUGAAGAAGCAUUUGGAAUUACUUAACCAAUGCUCUCAAUACCCCCAACAUACUCGGAGAAGUAGGUACCUACCCUACCCAAACCUUACAAAGAUCCAGCUCCGGCACAGAAUAAGUAAUAGGACUAAGGUUCCUGGGCACACUUAAGAAAUACCAUCAACACUUGCGGGCAAAUAGACAUUAAUGGGAUUAAAACAAAAUAUAUGUGUGACAAUUUAUUUAAUAAAUACUUAUAAAACAUU